rnacentral:tRNA from 1 species
AUUUAUAUAAUAUAAAAAUUAUAUUUGACUUCCAAUCAAAAAAUCUAGACUUCUAGUGUAAAUA